UUAUCCUUAACACUCUAAUGGUCUUUCAUUCUCACUUAGAAAGGAUUGACGCAUGUGGUGAGAGUAGUAGGAGGUCCUAGUGAUAGGUGCUACGUAGAGGCCUAUUGCACGGUAACGGACUUACACUUGUGUCUGGUAGGGUGAAACCCAUUGGUAAUGACUUUGCAAAGCAGUAGAGGCCACCACAAGUGCACAACCCGCCCAGAUCGAUAUUCAUUCUAAGUCCGGUCGAGUCUAGUGUUGUCAUAACAUGAUAGGUUGUUCUAUUUAGUCACAUGUAUGUAUAUGAUUUACUAUUUAACUGUUGUAUGAUGAUUAGUAUGCUUUUGAAACCUAGCUUACUCUUACUCUUGUAUGUG
rnacentral:lncRNA from 1 species